GCCUUCGUAGCUCAGCCGGACAGAGCGGCCAGUUUCUACCUGGCGGGUCGGGAGUUCGAAUCUCUCCGAAGGCGCCA
rnacentral:tRNA from 1 species